rnacentral:rRNA from 1 species
UUCGGACCUCUCGCUAUCAGAUGAGCCCAUGUCGGAUUAGCUAGUUGGUGGGGUAAAGGCUCACCAAGGCGACGAUCCGUAACUGGUCUGAGAGGAUGAUCAGUCACACUGGAACUGAGACACGGUCCAGACUCCUACGGGAGGCAGCAGUGGGGAAUAUUGGACAAUGGGCGCAAGCCUGAUCCAGCCAUGCCGCGUGUGUGAAGAAGGCCUUAGGGUUGUAAAGCACUUUCAGUGGGGAGAAAGGUCAUUCACCUAAUACGUGAGUGAAUUGAUGUUACCCACAGAAGAAGCACCGGCUAACUCCGUGCCAGCAGCCGCGGUAAUACGGAGGGUGCAAGCGUUAAUCGGAAUUACUGGGCGUAAAGCGCACGUAGGUGGUUUGUUAAGCUAGCUGUGAAAUCCCCGGGCUCAACCUGGGCACUGCAGUUAGAACUGGCAAGCUAGAG